UACGGAGGGUGCGAGCGUUGUCCGGAAUCACUGGGCGUAAAGGGCGCGUAGGCGGCUCAUGAAGGCUGUGGUGAAAGUCCGGGGCUCAACCUCGGAUCGGCCGUGGCGACUCGUGGGCUGGAGCACUGUAGAGGCGGGUGGAAUUCCGGGUGUAGCGGUGGAAUGCGUAGAUAUCUGGAGGAAUACCGGUGGCGAAGGCGGCAUCCUGGACCGACAUUGACGCUGAGGAGCGAAAGCUAGGGGGAGCAAACGGG
rnacentral:rRNA from 1 species